rnacentral:rRNA from 1 species
UACGUAGGGGGCUAGCGUUGUCCGGAAUCAUUGGGCGUAAAGAGCGCGUAGGCGGCCAGAUAAGUCCGGUGUGAAAGUCAAAGGCUCAACCUUUGAAUGCCGCUGGAAACUGUCUGGCUAGAGUCCGGGAGGGGCGAGUGGAAUUCCUGGUGUAGCGGUGAAAUGCGCAGAUAUCAGGAGGAGCACCGGUGGCGAAGGCGGGUCUCUGGGCCGUAACUGACGCUGAGGAGCGAAAGCAUGGGGAGCGAACAGG